ensembl:miRNA Y73B6A.17 ncRNA
AUAUUCAAUUGCAACCUGUUGGUUGAUCUCCUACCAAAUAAUGGAUAAGAGAUCAGGCAAUAGGUUCAAAAGUGAAUAA